rnacentral:lncRNA from 7 species
UCACUUCUCUGGUCAGGGUUCUGUCUUUCCUCUGUUUUUUAUAGUGAUACGAUGGUCAUUUGAAUCAUAGAUACAAAAAAUCUAACUGUUGAUAUAAGGAGAUCAGAACUGCGUGUAUUUCAUGUGUAUCCCUGGACAUCAAGUGCUGCACUGCAAAUUGUCUCACGAUGCUAAGUACCUCAAGUCCAUUCCUCAGACCUGUAAUUAUCUGGUGCGCCUCAAAAGUUACAUUGCAUUGGAUGCUGGUUUUAAAUUUUGAAAAUUAUCUGAUUUAUUACAGUCUGUAUUAUAUGAUUUUAAAAAUUGUGUUAUGUGAAUGCCUGGGGAGUUUGUCUACAACAAGGCUUUUGUAUGGUUGGACAAACAAACAAAAAAACAAAACACCACCUUAGACAAAAUCAGACUUUUCUUAAACAUCCGUUCUCCAAAAAUAUUCAUUUCUCCCAUAAACCUCAGCUAUUAUGGGAUACAUGUGAAUAGUCUGUGAGAGACGACAAAGGAUGGAACCUUGUGUGCUGAAGGCUUAACGAAGAAGUUCCCACCUGUGAUGCAAAUCUUGGAUUUAGAGAUAUUUUUUUCUGUCCUAUUCCAAAGGGACAUAAGAAACAAACAAACAUACAAAAUGAACCACUAUCAUGCUGUCCAGGUUGAUGUUUCAGAUCCUUGCUUGCUCUGUUGUUGUCUCCUGGCAAGACUGCCUGCUAGUGCCAGCUAUGGUGUGAACACCUCCCUGCUGGGAACAGGAGUGAAACUGCCAUUUUUAAUUGGGACACUGAAUAAUUUGUGGUGAAUAGCCAUGUAUGCUCAUUACCGAUCAAGGAAGAAUUAGAACCAAUGAAAACUUUCUAAUCCCAUAAUCUUGACUCAUCUAUUUAUAUCGCAUUGUACUUUUAUUUUAUUUUACUUUGUUUUGUUUUAUUAUUUUUAGCUGGUCAAGGGGAAGGUUUAACUUCAGUAAACCUAAAAAGCAAUGUGGAUUUCUGAGGAAAAAAUACCAGUGUCUUGAUUCAACAACUAAUUCUUACUCUGCAUGUUUAUUUUCAAAGAACUCUUAAUAUCUGUGCCCUGUUCAGCUUUAUGUAGGGAAACAUAAUAUAACAGUGAAGAACUGAAUCGGUUUGAUAGUGUUGAGAUUAUGUUUGAAAGCAACCUCUUUAGUAUGUUAGAUUUCAGCCACUCUUUGAGAUGCUCUCUCAGACAAAGCAGAUAAUGCAGGAGCAGGUUUCAGUGAAAUAGAGAACAUUCUUGCAUUGUUGAUUACUAAAUAAUAAUCAAGUGUUUUUGGGUUUUGAUUCUCUCUCUUGUUCUCUUAGACUAUU